rnacentral:tRNA from 2 species
GGAGUGGUGGGUGAGUGGCUUAAACCAAUAGUUUGCUAAACUGUCGUACGCUGUAAAGGCGUACCGCGGGUUCAAAUCCCGCCCACUCCGCCA